rnacentral:tRNA from 1 species
GCGCCCGUGGCUUAAUUGGAUAGAGCACCUGGCUACGGACCAGGGGAUUGGGGGUUCGAAUCCUCCCGGGCGUA